rnacentral:rRNA from 1 species
AACGAACGCUGGCGGCGUGCCUAACACAUGCAAGUCGAACGAGAAAGUCCCGCAAGGGAUGAGUAAAGUGGCGCACGGGUGAGUAACACGUAGGUAACCUGCCUCUAAGAUCGGGAUAACCUGUCGAAAGACGAGCUAAUACCGGAUAAGACCACGGUCCCUUCGGGGACAGGGGUCAAAGGUGGCCUCUGCUUGCAAGCUAUCGCUUAGAGAUGGGCCUGCGCACCAUUAGCUAGUUGGUAGGGUAACGGCCAACCAAGGCAAAGAUGGUUAGCUUGUCUGAGAGGAUGACCAGCCACACUGGAACUGAGACACGGUCCAGACUCCUACGGGAGGCAGCAGUGGGGAAUCUUGCGCAAUGGACGAAAGCUUGACGCAGCAACGCCGCGUGGGUGAUGAAGGCCUUCGGGUCGUAAAGCCCUGUCGGAAGGAACGAAUGCUCCUGGGGUGAAUAAUCUCAGGAGGUGACGGUACCUUCAAAGGAAGCACCGGCUAACUCCGUGCCAGCCGCCGCAGUAACAC